rnacentral:lncRNA from 1 species
ACUAAUGUCAAGCUAUAAAAGCGGCUAAAAUUAAUACUUUUGUCAAUUAAACAGCUAUCGAAAGAACAUUCCUAAAGAAGCAGAAAAGUGGCUCGGGAAUUGAACAGAAAACUACAGAAGUGUCAUAUGAUAAACAUGUCUUCCACAAAAGUCCUUGUUGUGUUGGUGCUUCUGGUCUUCACGAUGCUGAUAGAGAAUAGUGAAUGCCGGAGACGCCAGGCAUUAUGUAGAAUGAACAGGAGAACAGGAACAUGUAACAGCAUAAAGAGAAAAGGUGGUGCUAAACCAUCCACAGAUCUUUGUGAGCAACUAGGAGGCUAUUGUAAGCUUCACGUGGGAAGAAUAUCAAGAUGUUUUUGUGACUUGGGGAGGUUUGUUUGAACUUCUCGUGAAAAGAAAAAUGUAAAGAUGUCCUUGUAUUAUAAUUCAUGAUGCUUAGAUAAGAGAUUUGUCUGCCUGCGACAGGAUACAAGAAGUAAAGGAUUUGCCAGCGCUGUGAAUUUGGGCAAGAGUUUCCUCUUACAAUCAUUUGUAUUGUACCCGAACACACUACCUCGUUGUUACGUUUGUAACAUACAUUUUUUAUUUAAUUGUUUUAUCCAUUCGUUUUCAUAUUAUUUCAUUUGUUUCCUUUAAUUACACUAUACAAGUUUUCCGCCUUUUUAUCAAUUGGACGACCAAUUGAUUUCAUUAAUUCAUACAUGUUCUUCGUAUUAUUAAAAUGCAAGAAAUUACUAGCAUAUUAUUUAAUAUCAUACAUUCUUAACAGUAAUUCCCUUUUCAUGUGUAAUGUACUACCAAAAUAAUUAUGUACAAUUUAUAAUUAUGAGAAUAAUCUAGCAUACGUAUCUAUAUCAAAGAUCUGUUUUCAUAUACCUUGUUGUUAUUAUAAUGAAUAAAAAUAUUAUGAAGUAUGUUGUUUUUUUUAUAACAUUGAUUUUGAUAAGAUAUAUUAAAGUUGCGAUUUGGGGAGGCUGUGUUUUGGCAGGUGACAUGCCCUGUUGGAUAUUUAUCCUUGUUUUUAUUUAUCAAAAUGAGUAACAGCCAGGCUCAAUCUUUUGAAUUUGGUUUUUUCCAGCUGGAGGUGUGAAUAAACCUAAUGACUUAUAUUAUUAACUCUGGAUGAUUUGCUUCCCUUGAACUGAUGCGUAUAGUGCUACAACAGUAAUCAGCUGUUAGAUAAAAAGAAACAUCUUUAAAAUUUAUGUUUCCACUAAAUUCAGCUACAACGUCUGUUAUGAAAAUGAAAUGUGAUAAAUAUAUAAGACUCUUACUAUCAUUACUUUCCAUUUUAUAGCAGCUAGAGUAAUGAGUCAGUAGUAUGUAACAGGUAUGUUAUAUUAAAAUAUGAGUAUAUAAAAUGUACAGAGUUAAUACUAAUAAGAAAAUACAUUGUAGUGUGCGAUUGUAGAACCUAACUUGUUUCUACCAGUUAGUUAAGAUGUCUUGUCCAUAUCAUACUGAAUGGUUGCUCCAUAUUUUUCGUUGGGCAUAGAUUGCUAUGCUUGAAACUCUCCUGUGUUACAGAGCUAAAAAACAGAAAUAUUGUUAAUUUCUAAAAACAUACAAAUUCAUGCCGUUUAGGUAAAUACAAAAUUUAGUUGUCAUGCUGCCAUAAUCAUAUCAUUUAUGACAGUCGGAUUUAUUCAAAUCCUAAAAACUAUUUUUUUAAAGAUAUUAUUUCCUACCGAAUUCUUGACUGCCAAAUGUGUUUUAUGAUUUCGAUCUGAUAAUAGUGUUGUUUUUGCUUUCAACGGAUUUAAGUGAUGGACUUGAAUGCAGAGAAUUGCUAACUGCAUUACAAAAUCAAACUUAUACUGACCUAAAUACAGUUUUAUUUAUUACAAGUUAUCCACACUAAAGUAGGCAAUGCACCUAACAACGAUUUAUUAACACGGUACACAUUUAAUUAUUCGUAUUCUUUCUGAAUAAAUAAAAUUCCUUAAAAUCAAGUGUUAAUAAACACAAAUUUCCACUUAGUUUCCAUAAGUUAUCCAGUUACAUUAAUGCAGAUUGCAUUUCUAUAAAUAGCAGCAUUUGACAUCAAAACAAAGGAUUUUUUCUUCUAUACAAGCAGCGUGUGUGAUGUCGCUGAACAGUGUUGGUUGGGGGGAAUUGUGUCCCACAAUUUUGUGGCCAGUUGUUAAGGACCCAACCUUUGAUAUUACAACAGUAUGACUAAGACAGUAUAUAAUUUAUAUACUGUCAAUUUUAUUUCUUGUUGUAUGUUUCAAACAAAUUUUGAUAUUUUGUUAUACAUUGUUGUAUGAUAUCAUGUUUAUAUGUUCCGUCAUUUAUUAUUAAAUGACCUUUUCGAUUCACAUGGUUUUAGUCUUUUCUCUCUUGUAUAUCAAACAAAGAAAACUUCGUACAUUCAAUUUACUUUAAAAGGUAGACAUAAAAAUUAAUUUAUUAUCAAAUAAAUGUAUUUAUGGAUACGUUUAACCUUACUUCGUAACCUUAUUAUGAUAACGCGAAUAAUAGGUCGAACCAUUCUGAGGGCGAAUCAUGUUACAGACAAGUAUUAGUAAGCACAAUGAAGUCCGAUUAGUAUUAUCAUAAUUUAUGCAUAAAUCGUCAGCCAUCUUGUUGGAUUAAAACACAAAGGAAAAAAUUCAUUGCCCGCCCUCCCAUCCCUUAAGCUUAUUGAAGGCAUAAUUGUAAUUUCCAUUUCUGCAGUAAAGUUAUUUUCAAAUAUACUGCUAGUCAUUUAGUAUUUAGACUUGAAUACAAAUAAUACCAUCUGUGUUCUUAAUAUCAAUUAAUUGUGAUAUUUAGUUAUACAUUGUUGUAUGAUAUCAUGUUUAUGUAUUCCAGUUGUUAAGGACCCAACCUUUGAUAUUACAACAGUAUGACUAAGACAGUAUAUAAUUUAUAUACUGUCAAUUUUAUUUCUUGUUGUAUGUUUCAAACAAAUUUUGAUAUUUUGUUAUACAUUGUUGUAUGAUAUCAUGUUUAUAUGUUCCGUCAUUUAUUAUUAAAUGACCUUUUCGAUUCACAUGGUUUUAGUCUUUUCUCUCUUGUAUAUCAAACAAAGAAAACUUCGUACAUUCAAUUUACUUUAAAAGGUAGACAUAAA